UGUGCCUACGGGGGGCAGCAGUGGGGAAUAUUGGGCAAUGGGCGCAAGCCUGACCCAGCAACGCCGCGUGAAGGAAGAAGGCUUUCGGGUUGUAAACUUCUUUUAAGAGGGAAGAGUAGAAGACAGUACCUCUUGAAUAAGCCACGGCUAACUACGUGCCAGCAGCCGCGGUAAUACGUAGGUGGCAAGCGUUGUCCGGAUUUACUGGGUGUAAAGGGCGUGUAGCCGGGUUGACAAGUCAGAUGUGAAAUCCUGCGGCUUAACCGCAGAACUGCAUUUGAAACUGU
rnacentral:rRNA from 1 species